AAGAGAAUCCAGAGUGCUGGAAUCAGACAGUUCUGAAUCCAAACCCUACCUCUGAUUCUUACUAACUCUGUGGACUUGAGCCAAUUACAUAGCCUCCCUGUGCCUUGGUUUCCCCAGUUGUGAAAUGGAGGGCUAACCCGUAUUUCAAAGAGCUAUGGUGAAUACUAAAUAAGAGAACAUGUGUACAGUUCCUGGCAGAUAGUAAGCACUCAGCAGUUGUUAAUUCCUUAUCUUCCUUCUUUAAAAAAAAAAAAGGAUUUUAUUUCUUCUCUUUUAUUUAGUUUCAGACCAACUCCACACUGAGUGCAGAGCCCAACACAGGGCUUGAUCUCAAGACCCUGAGAUCACAACCUGAGCCGAGACCAGAGUCAGAUGCCCAACUGACAACUCCACCAGGUACUCCUCAAUACAUUUAUUUUAAUGAAUAAAAUAGUCAGUGGAGUGCUAGAGGUGAGGUGGUCUUCUGUUUUGCAACUCCUUUAGCUGCAUAUGACCAAAAUCCAACUCAGACAAGGUGAAGUAAAAGUGAAAUGUUUGGGACAUCAGACACUGCUGGACCUCAUGUGGGGUUAAGGGGGCAGGGGCAGAGAACAUCUCCAUCCAUUCUGUUUGCCAAGUCACCCAGCCAAUUAGUGGGAGAUGUGGGGGCCUGCAGCUCACAUUUGAAGGCUAGUCAAUGAGAAUUCAUGGUGAGAUCAGCCUGCAGCCGUGGCCAAAAUUAUAAUCUGGAGCUCCUUAUUACUCGCCAUGACCACCUGGUUAACCUGCGUCUCACAUUCAAAGUUUAUGGACCUUCCAGCAUGGUCAUCCAAUCUUCUGCUCCCAUUGAAACAGCCAAACAAACCUCAGCACCAGUUUUGGCCACAGUUCUUCUGGAAUGUCAUGGAACUGAAGUGUGCGAUGCCUGGAUCUACAAAGCUACUGAGAGCAAAGGCAGCAGGAAGGUUCCACUUGGAUGCAGUAACCUGGCAAGACAGGGCUCAAGUCUACCGCUCACUGGCUGAGUGUCUUUGGGUGAGUUACUGAAUGUCUCCAAGCCUGAUUUUCCCAUUAGUAUGACAGUAUAGUAACAGUACGUGCUCUCAGGAGUACAGUGAGCAUUGACCUAGAUGCUGCAGACAGCAAGUGCCCCUGUAAGCCUGGGCUGAGCUCUCCAGUCCUGCCUGUCUCUACAUGGCUGCCUCCUCUCUCGAAGCCUGGCUUCCAUGGCUCCUCCCUGCUUGUGGCCAACUUCUAGCUAGCUUACAACUCCUCAGAGGGAAAUAUCUCCAGAUGGAGGCCCAUCUCUCUCAGUCGCCAUAGAAGAGAAUCUGGAAGGCCUUUAGGUCCAUCACAACCCUAAGCCUCCCCAGUCAGGUAUAGGAAUCCCUGGGGUUGCAGCUCCACCAUGCCUGCCCACCCCAGUUCUCAGAGAGAGGGGAGGAGUGUGGGGACAGGCUGAUAGACACCCCCAGGCAUCUACUGUGACUCCCCAGAAAUAAACAUCUUUCCAGCCCUAACCCUACA
rnacentral:lncRNA from 12 species